GCCGGGAUGGCGGAAUGGUAGACGCCGGGGACUUAAAAUCCCCUGAUCCCUGUGGUCGUGCGGGUUCGAGUCCCGCUCCCGGCA
rnacentral:tRNA from 1 species